rnacentral:misc_RNA from 1 species
GAUGAAGAACGUAGCGAAAUGCGAUAAGUAGUGUGAAUUGCAGAAUUCAGUGAAUCAUCGAAUCUUUGAACGCACAUUGCGCCCUAUGGUAUUCCAAAGGGCAUGCCUGUUCGAGCGUCAUUUGUACCCUCAAGCUUUGCUUGGUGUUGGGCGUCUUGUCUCUAGCUUUGCUGGAGACUCGCCUUAAAGUAAUUGGCAGCCGGCCUACUGGUUUCGGAGCGCAGCACAAGUCGCACUCUCUAUCAGCAAAGGUCUAGCAUCCACUAAGCCUUUUUUUCAACUUUUGACCUCGGAUCAGGUAGGGAUACCCGCUGAACUUAAGCAUAUCAAUAAGCGGAGGA